rnacentral:rRNA from 1 species
AGCAUAUCAAUAAGCGGAGGAAAAGAAACCCAACAGGGAUUGCCCCCAGUAACGGCGAGUGAAGCGGCAACAGCUCAAAUUUGAAAUCUGGCCCCUCGGGUCCGAGUUGUAAUUUGUAGAGGAUGCUUUUGGUGAGGUGCCGCCCGAGUUCCCUGGAACGGGACGCCACAGAGGGUGAGAGCCCCGUCUGGCUGGCCGCCGAGCCUCUGUAAAGCUCCUUCGACGAGUCGAGUAGUUUGGGAAUGCUGCUCAAAAUGGGAGGUAUAUGUCUUCUAAAGCUAAAUAUUGGCCAGAGACCGAUAGCGCACAAGUAGAGUGAUCGAAAGAUGAAAAGCACCUUGAAAAGAGGGUUAAAUAGUACGUGAAAUUGUUGAAAGGGAAGCGCUUGUGACCAGACUUGGGCGCGGCGGAUCAUCCGGGGUUCUCUCCGGUGCACUUCGCCGUGUUCAGGCCAGCAUCAGUUCGUCGCGGGGGAUAAAGGCUUCGGGAACGUGGCUCCUCCGGGAGUGUUAUAGCCCGUUGCAUAAUACCCUGCGGUGGACUGAGGACCGCGCAUCUGCAAGGAUGCUGGCGUAAUGGUCACCAGCGACCCGUCUUGAAACACGGACCAAGGAGUCGUCUUCGUAUGCGAGUGUUCGGGUGUCAAACCCCUACGCGUAAUGAAAGUGAACGCAGGUGAGAGCUUCGGCGCAUCAUCGACCGAUCCUGAUGUUCUCGGAUGGAUUUGAGUAAGAGCAUACGGGGCCGGACCCGAAAGAAGGUGAACUAUGCCUGUAUAGGGUGAAGCCAGAGGAAACUCUGGUGGAGGCUCGCAGCGGUUCUGACGUGCAAAUCGAUCGUCAAAUAUGGGCAUGGGGGGCGAAAGACUAAUCGAACCUUCUAGUAGCUGG